ensembl:snoRNA
CUGCAUCCGCUGAUAGACCUUGAACAAUUGGCAGUUGUUCUCUUGGUUUGCACUAGGAUGCCAAAGAAAAAUCCCUGCGCUUUCUGCCUGUCUUUGUGGCAGUCCAGAUUGAAUUGGGGAAUACAUUU